rnacentral:misc_RNA from 1 species
GAUGAAGAACGCAGCGAAAUGCGAUACUUGGUGUGAAUUGCAGAAUCCCUUGAACCAUCGAGUCUUUGAACGCAAGUUGCGCCUCAAGCCAUUAGGUUGAGGGCACGUCUGCCUGGGCGUCACAUAUCGUUGCCUGAUGCCAGUUUCCUCGUGAUGGGUGACUGUGCAGGGCGAAUGAUGGCUUCCCGUGAGCAUUGUUGCCUCAUGGUUGGUUGAAAAUUGAGUCCUUGGUAGGGAGCGCCGUGAUAGAUGGUGGUUGAGUGACGAACGAGACCCAAUCAUGUGAGACCCCUACCGAAUUUGGCCUUCAUGACCCACAUGCGUCUUUGGAACGCUCAUGACGAGACCUCAGGUCAGGCGGGGCUACCCGCUGAGUUUAAGCAUAUCAAUAAGCGGAGGA